rnacentral:rRNA from 1 species
GACGAACGCUGGCGGCGUGCUUAACACAUGCAAGUCGAACGGAAAGGCCCUGCUUUUGUGGGGUGCUCGAGUGGCGAACGGGUGAGUAACACGUGAGUAACCUGCCCUUGACUUUGGGAUAACUUCAGGAAACUGGGGCUAAUACCGGAUAGGAGCUCCUGCUGCAUGGUGGGGGUUGGAAAGUUUCGGCGGUUGGGGAUGGACUCGCGGCUUAUCAGCUUGUUGGUGGGGUAGUGGCUUACCAAGGCUUUGACGGGUAGCCGGCCUGAGAGGGUGACCGGCCACAUUGGGACUGAGAUACGGCGCAGACUCCUACGGGAGGCAGCAGUGGGGAGUAUUGCACAAUGGGCGGAAGCCUGAUGCAGCAGCGCCGCGUGCGGGAUGACGGCCUUCGGGUUGUAAACCGCUUUCGCCUGUGACGAAGCGUGAGUGACGGUAAUGGGUAAAGAAGCACCGGCUAACUACGUG